CUGCAGGCUUGGUUGGAUGAUCUUUAUUUGGUGAAAGGAAAACAAAAUUGGCUUUUGGCAAUUGCUUAACAGACAGAUUUGUCACACGUCUGCAUUCUUUUCUCACUCCUCUUUUCUCUGUUCUGUGAAAUAGAUGGAACUCUUAAUGUGCCAAAAUAGUUAAAUAAGAGAUUUUUUUUCAUUGCCGUUUAGUUUCAGGCUAUUUUGAAUUAAUGAAAGUCUCUAGCAUAUUGGUUGAAAUAUUUUUACUUCAUUUUAAAGAGACAUGUUGAAAACAUUUUCUUUGUUUUAAUGUAAUAUUUCAUGCCUGCAAUCAAUUUUCUAAUGUUUACUAACACUUCAUUACGGGGCUCGUUAGGAGAGUGUUUCUUGGCUCUUCAAGAGGCUGUUUUUAUAUAGAAGUGAAAGUGGCAAAUUUGGACUUGUAUCUGCAUUAUCUCAGUACUACCAUCAGAAGGGUAAAGACUAGAUUAAAUGUUCUUUAUUAAGCAACACCAAAACCUUUGUAGUUAAAAUGUUUCUGGAAUUAAAGCAGAAAUAUUCACCAUCAGGGAAAGGGUGGUGGUACUUGUUGGAGUUCAUGUGCUUUAGUAAAAGUUGUGUGUUUUGCAUGCUGGGUGGAGAAAAAUGUGCCAUUUUGUUUAAAUGGUUCUGACCAGACAAAAUGUCUCUUUUUAUUUCUUCUCAAAUUUGAGUUUGGUGUGAUACCUAUACUAGAAGAGGUUUGAUUGUUGUUCAAAACUAUACUCUUAGUUUUGUUUUCUAGAAAUUUUUUAUUUUGUUCAAGUUUUAUAAUGAAAAGUUUUGAUUAUUUACUUUGGACUCUUGCCCCGCUUCUAUCCUUUAAAGGUAUUAAACAGGAAGUAGUAACCCAAAGCUAAAGUAUUGUCUUAAAUAUUAGAACAUAGCCGUAAAAAUAUUGUUGGCAAGAGUAAGGUGGAUUCAUGGUAAAGUUUCUAGUAAUUGCACAUGAACUGUAAUUUUUUUAAAUUAAAAAAGUCUGAAUUGAAUAUGCCCCUUUAGAUGCUGUGUGUUAUAUAGUCACCUUGUAUUAAAGCUGAGAGUCUUGCCUGGAAAAAAAAUUACACGGAGAUUUCACCACAGACCUAUUCUGUAUUAAAUCUGCCCAGAGGAGGGUAGCAUAUGCCAGAUGCCAAAGAUGUAUUACAGGCUAAGUGCUUCAGGAAUUUAAAGAAGGUGGUCAGAAAAAGCUUUGUAGUUGAGGUGAGGCUUGUACUCAUUCUUGAAGAAUGGAACAAAAGUGGGAGGUGUGACAAGAGUAUUUCAGGUGGGGGAAUGACAUAAGCACAUUGGAAGAAGCUAGGAUUUGUCUAAUAUAUUUCAGAAGGUACUGACAGGUUUGCUGAAAUGUAAGUUAAUAUAAGGAUGGGAUAGACAAGGUUAGAAAGGUAAAUUGGGAGACUGUGGAGCACAUUGAAUGCUGGGCUAGGAGCCAUUGAAGGAAAUGAUAAAGGGAGAAUCAUCUAAUAGCAGUGUGGUCAAUAUAAUGGAAUAAGGAGAGAUUGAAGACCAGAAUUGAGAAUGGUUGUAAACAUUCAGUGGAGGGAGAAAGGGCUUUGAACUAGGGUGAUGCAAGAAGAAACAGCAUAAUGGAAAGAAUAAAAAAAGAAUGUUUACAACUUCCUUUUUUGAAAUUGCAUUUAAAAUUCAUAGCACAUAUCUUUAAUAUGGGCAAGUAUCAUAUGAGUGUAGAAUUUAAACACUAGAAAGAUUUAAGAUAUAUUUUAUUCUACUUUUCCAUUUUAAUAUUGAGAAAAUUGACCUCUAAGAUUUAUAUAAUUCUAUGUCAGACUCCAUAUUAUAAUCCCACUCUUAAGAUGUUUAGUCCCUGAGUGAAGUUAUCACAAAUGUUUUUGAGAAAUUAGCUGAAAAAGAACAGCCAAAAAAUCAAAGCACUAGAUCUAAGUGAAAUAUUGCAAAUCUAGGGGAAUACCUUCUCUUUAGUGAUAGUUCAUCUACAGCCUUGGGUGGACUACCCAGGGCUUCUGCAUGGAUCAGUGGGCUGAGCAGUCCAGAUAAGCAACCAGAGUAUACCCUCCACUAGCUGGGCGAUGUCCAAAUCGUUCUGGAGGUUGCACCUGAUGUUCAUUGUUGCCUGAUUAAAACACUACACAGGUUAACCACAAGGCCUGAUCCCCAGCAGACAUUGCUCUGAGCGUAGCUUGCCUAUGAAAGAUUUUUUACUCACCCAUUAACAGAUUUUGGUUUAAUUCUUGGAUUCAGUUCAGAUAUCUUUUUCCCUCCGUGAAAUGCUCAGAGCUCAGAGCAUAAUCACUAGUAAGCUGACUAGUCUACAUAAGGUUCUGAAUGAAGGUGGAAAACAAAUUUCAUCACCCAUGGAGUGGAAAACAGAAUACCUAGAUUUCUUGGGUUUUUCCUGAAGUUUGCCUUGCAGAUGGGCAUGAGUAUAUGACCUUGGAAUCUGGGAGUGUAGUUUCAAGUAGUUCCUGUGGCAAAUGUGGAAUUUCUUUGAAGUUUCUGGGUUUUAUCUUAAAAGUUCAUGAAAAUUUUAUAUUUGAUUCUAUAAUAUACCUGUAUUUUCAAAACAAAAUGUAUUAAAUUACAAAUAUUUGAGAAAAAAAGAUUCUCCAAUGUGUCUCAGUUUGAGAAAUAUAGUUUCAGAGAAUGUAUGUAAUAUAUGUCAUCUUUUAUUUAUUCAGUUUAUUUAAAUCAAAUCAUUCCCCCCUACCCCCAAAAAAGGAUUUAAAGUAGCGUAAGUAAAGGACACACAUAAGGUUAAUAGGAAUAUGUGACGUGCUAUAAUCCUUUCAAUGAGGCCACCUGUUUCCAAACUCAGACUCUCCGUUUAGGAAGGUGAGUUUCAUUAAGGAAUUUGAGAUUUUCAAAUAAAUGUAAAAUACUAGAUAGAGAGGUAUCUUAUAGAUACCAAAGAUAAAAUCUCAUAAAAUCAUUGAGUUAGGACCUUAAUAAUGGUCCAGUAGUUCCCAAUUCUAGAUAUACAUUAAAAUAAAUUGAAAAGCCUUUUAAAAAUAUAGAUCCCUGGACCCCACUGGACCUACUGAAUUGUAUUCUUUGGGGAGCCCAAGAACUUAUUAAAUUCUCUGGGCUGUUUUUAUGAUUACUGUGAACUGUUACUGGGAACCACUGACUGAAUCCAUCUUUUAUAGUAAUGUUUCCAACAGAAGGCUGUUUGCCUUUGCUUAACAUUAUUUCCAGUGAAGUAUCAUUUUCCAUUCUUGGAGACAGCUCAAAAGUUUUCUUAAAUAACAGCUUUAUUGAGACAAUUUAUAUGCCAUACAAUUCACCUAAAGUGUGUAAUUCACUGGUUUUUAGUGUGUUCACAGAAUUGUGCAACUGUCACCACAAAUUUAAAACAUUGUCACAAUCCCAGAAGAAACCUCAGACUUCUUAGCAGUGACUUCCCUAUCUUCCCACCCCUAUCCAACACCACCCAAAGCAGCAACUAAUCUGCAUUUUGUCUCUAUGGAUUUGUCUGUUCUGGACAUUUCAUAUCAAUGGAAUCAUAUAAUAUGCUGUUCUUUGUUACUGACCUCUUUUACUUAGCGUAAUGUUUUCAGUGAAGCAUGUAUUACUGUUUUAUUGCCAAAUACAAUUACAUUGCAUACAUAUACUACAUUUUAUUUAUCCAUUCACCAGUUGAUGGAUCUACAGGAUUGUUGCCAUGUUUUAGCUAUUAUAACUACUGUUGUGUGGAUAUUUUUAUUUCUCGUGGAUAUAUAUCUAGGAAUGGAAUUGCAGGGUCAAAUGGUAACUCUAUGUUUAACUUUUUGAGGAAAUACCAAACUGUUUUUAAAAAUGGCUGUGGCAUUCUACAUUCCUUCCAGCAGUGUAUGAGUGUUUCAGUUUCUCUUCAUUCUCAGCAACACUUAUUAUGUCUUUUUGAUUAUAGGCAUCCUAGUGAGUAUGAAGUGGUGUUGCAUUGUGGUGUUGAUGCGCUUUUAUGAUGGCUAGUGAUACUGAGCAUCUUUUCAUGUGCCUAGUGGCUAUUUGUUUACAUUCUUGGGAGAAAUGUCUAUUCAGAUCCUUUGCCCAUUUAAAAAUUGGGUUGUCUUUUAUUGUUCAAUUGUAAGAGUUCUUUAUUCUGAGCAUAAAAAUAAACAAAAGACAAAGAGCCAUAUCCAUUAGUAUUUAUUGCUUGCAUACUGUGCACCAAACACUGUUCAAUAUGGAACUUGACCUCAAGACGUCUAAAUUUUAGGGAGGCGGCUGGAUGCAGCGGCUCAUGCCUUGUAAUUCUAGCACCCUAUCUCUCAAUCAAUCCAUCAAUAAAUUUUAGGGAGGUAAGGUAUAGAUAUCUAAAAGCAAAUACACACAGGUAGUAUGUAAUUAAAUGUUGGAAUAAUUGAAACAAAAGCAAUGCUAUGGGAUAGUUAAAUAGUGUUUUUCAAAUACAAUAUAUGAUGUGAGAAGAAAGAAUUUCAAUAGAUUAAGACAGAGUCUCCAUUAUAAUGAAAAAGGAAAAUUAUUGCAGGUUGGAAUUGUGGAAUUAAAAUCAUCAAGAAGAAGUUAAGUGAUGGGUAGGUUAUUCUAUAGCUGUCACCCAAUUGCUUCCUUAACUUAACCUUCUUCUCUUUUGCCUCUUGCUCACCCCUUUCCAGCCACAGAAGUCCCCUUGCCAUUCCUCAGGCAUUCUAAACACACUCCCACCUUAGAUUCUUUUCAUUUGCUCUUGACCGUUUUUAUUCACUCUACCUGUAACCCUUACUCCACUUACCUCAAUGGCUUGUUCUCUCCUUCCUUGAAGUGUUGUUAUGUCAGAGAAGCUUUCCCUGACAUCUGUAUGCAAAACAGUAAUACUCUUUUCAGUACACUCUCGUCUUUGUUAUGGUCUGUUUUCUUCAGAGCACUUAUCAUCAUUUGAUGAUUUUUGGUUACUUGUUUGGUAUCUGUCCCUGCCAGGGUGACCCACUGCCUUGAUUUGCCUUGGACUGAGGGGUUUUCUGAGAUGCAGAACAUUCAGUGUUAAAAAAGGACAGUCCCAGGCAAACUGGGAUAAUGAGUCAUCCUGUCUUUUCACUGGAAUGAAAGCUUCAGGAGAGAGUGGAAUUUGUUCACCGCUGUAUCCUGGUAAUUUGAAGAGUACCUUGCAUGUAGAGGUAUACAAUGCAUAUUUGUUAGAUAAACAGAUUUCCUUUAAGUUUCUGUAUUCCUGAAGAGACUUGCUAGUUUCUAGGACUAAAAAAUACACUUUAGAUUAAAAUUUAAAAUAGUAGAAAAAAAUUUAGUUUUAGAGAAAUUUGGAGGGAUAAAAAUCAGUUAACAGAACCUCUGAAACAAUGAUUUUCAGCCUCUGUUUUGCAAUACCCUGUGGUAUAUUCAGCUCCCUCAAAGGAUAUUAUGAAAUUCUUUACCCCUAAAGUAAUAAUGAUAAUUCACUUUAAUUUAAAAUAAAGUUGCAUAAAGGAGGAAGGGUGGAUUAUAAACUUAAUUGAGAAAAGCAUGUUGCAAUUGUGGUAGAUUGGAAAGCACUGCAGUCUGACUUCCUGGUUUGAGGAAGCUGAGGGUAAUUUAGUGUUUGGGACAAGCAGCUUCAGGGUAGUGAACCUAAUGCUACUGCAGGUAUAAGUCACUAAUCGUGUGAUUCCUUCAGUGACUGUUCUGCUUGAGUAGAAUAUAAGAGUACCAAUACCUUGUCAGUUUUCCUCCUCUGCUGUUCACCGCAUUACCUACAGAAAGACAUCUUCUGAAUGUGUCCUUGCAAAAUAGUUCCCAUCCCCAGUGUACACAAAAUAUAUACAAAGAAUGCACUAAGUUGAAAUGUACUGCAUGUAACACACUUCAAAAAUGCGAUCCAGAUGUAUGGUGCUUGAUGCCUAGACACUUCUAAGUGCCUUGGCCUAUAACAUAUUUUAAAAUAGAAUGUUCUCUCCUUUUUCAAAUCUCUGUUUGAUGCCUCAUUUGAGACCUAUAAAACACUUGUCCUUAGCCCUGAAGCUGGACAUAGUACUCAAGACAGAUAAGUAAGCAGAAUUACAGCAUAGAGUGACAAGUGUGAAGGUGGAGGUAUAUGCACAGAGCACUGUGGGAACAUGGAGGGGGCACUUUACCAGAUCCAUGUAUGUGUGCUGAGAUUCCCACCUCCUUGUUAGAGAGUGUGGCUGCAGGCUACCGGAAGAUGAAAACCUUCACUGGGGGUGCUGUGGGCCAGAAUUGAUGCAGGUGGCCUACUGGGUGCUGGUAAGCCACGGCUGGCAAAGUGGGAAUGGGCUGGUUUCAGUGAAACAGGCUGGAGGAAGGGCACUAAUGGGUCUCCUGCAUGGCUCUGGUGACUGCACUGUGGGAGGAAGGAGGAAAGUACACAGAACCAAGAUAAGAAUCUCUUCUCUCUGCUGUGCCUUGCACUGUCUCUCCAUCACUCUGUUAACAAGCUGAAUACUGUACCUGUUGGCAAAGGAAAAUUGUUUACAGGUUCUGUCCCCAGCUUCAUAAACAGGGUAAAGCAGAGUGGCUUUGGGAGAUGAGAGGCAAUAAAUGAAUGAAUAGCACAACUAGAUAAUGCCAAACUUAUCUUCCAGUUUAUUAUUUUUACUAUUAAACCUAUCCUUAUGAGUUCUUAAGUUUAGAGAAUAUGUUCUUCAGUUCCACAAUUCCAUUCAAUUCCUUUCUAUAAAUUCCAAUUCUCUGGUUAAUUUAUCUUUUCAUCUAUCUUUUCAUAUUCUAAAUGGCUUUCUCCACUUUCUUGCAUAUGUAAAUCAUAUUUAUUUUCUAGUCCUUGUGAGCUAAUUCUAGUAUCUGAAAUGUGUUUGGGCUUUUUUGUUUUGUUUGCUAUUUUUUUUUUUUUUUUUUUUGGUUCUCCAUCACUUGGCUCUGUUUUUGGUGUUUCUGGUAGUUUUGAGUGAAUGUCAGACAUUCCAGUUAAAACACUAUAGAGGCUCCAGAUAACGCUAUCUUCUUCCAGAAAGAGGGUUUAUUGUCCCCCCUGGUAGGGACAUAGGCUGAUGUGAUUGGUUGAUCACUUUAAUCCAGUCAGGGAUUUUGCUGAGUCGAGGCUAGUUUAUGGCUUUGCUAAGAGUCUGUUUACUUCUGGUUCACUUCUGUCCUGGAAUAGUGUUCUUCAGGGUUUUACUUGGGAGGCUGGAGUGGCCAGUAUUCCUAAACAAUUCUAAGUGCCUUGGCCCACAAUAUACUUUAGGAUAGAAUUCUCUGUCAUUUGUCGAAUAUUUAAACACACAAGCAAUAUGGAUCCCAAAUUCUAAAUGUUGUCUUACAAGACUGCUGAUUGCUUUGCUGUAUUUUUCACAGGCGUUUUCUUAAUUUUUAGCUUCUUGACCUGGGCUACCCCGGAAUUCUUCAAAGUCUUGAGGGGAGCUGGCUGCAUUUUUGAGGUCUCUCAACACUGCCAAAAGUUCCAGUGGUUUCUCUAAGCCUCAGCAGCAGUUUUGUGACUGUGUGGAGCCUGGAUUAUCAGCCUCCCUCCUGUACCCAGAAUUUGCAAAUGUCCCCUGGGUAAAACCAGCUGGAGACAUCAGUUCCUCACCCUGAGGUUCUCUCCUCGUGAUUCUCAGCCUCCCAGUUCUCAUUGCUUCCAUAGAUAGCAAAUACCUUCAGAUAGAUUUCUAUAUUUUAUUUAGCUUUCUAGUUGUUUUUAUUGAGAGUGCUGGUCUGUGUAGAGCUACUUCAUCCCACCUGGAAGCAUAAGUCCUCUGUAUUAUAUUUUGAGAACACAUAAUUUUACAAUUUACCUUCAAAGUAAUAGUACGAAAGACUUCAGCAGAUGAUAAAAUACAGUGUACAUGUAUUACACCUUGGUAGGAAUACAGAAUUAAUAAAGUUAAUUGUUAAUAAUUAAUAAAAAUGAUAUUAAUAAAAUGUUCAAUAAGAUUAAUAAAAAUUAACAAAAUGAAGAUUACAGUACUUCUUCAUUUUUUAUGAAAACCUAGAUGUUAACUUCCAAUAUAUACAUUCCUAAGGUAGAAAUAAGAACAUUAUAUAGCAUGGCAUCUCUGGUUCUCUUGAUUUUAAUGCAGCAUGUAAUCAAAGGAUGCAUCAUCAGUAAAUGACCCAAGAGAAUAUGAGAAAAUUACUAGAAAUUUUGGUGGAAAACUGGUUUAUGUGUUGAUGAACUAAAAACUAUUGUAUUUUUACCAUGUCUAUUUUCUCAGCCAGGGAAACAUUUUAUGAGGUAGGAAGAAAAUUAAUAUUAUUAUUAUUAUUUUUUAAAUAUACUUCCUAAAGGAAGACGUGGAAGAACCCUCGUUAAAAAUUAUGAUGUAUGAUUUCAUCUGUUUUCAAAGGUGUUGCUAUUAUAUUAUAGCCAAUUAUAGAUUAAAAAGAGUAUUAAUAUAUACACAUAUGCAUACACAAAUAAUUUGAAAGCAUGUGUUAUAAACAAAGCUUUAAAAGCAUAGUUGUCGAAAAACAACAUCUUGAAAGCACAAACAAGGUACAUUAAAAAUGUUCACUCUCAUAAGACAAAUGAAAAAAAGGCAAACCAAGUUAUUUUUUGAAAUCCAAUGGCAAAUAUAACAUUUAGCAGAUGUUGCCAGUUUUGAUUUACUCUAUUGAAUUGUAAAACAGCUUUUGGGAAAAUGAGGUACUGAGUUGAGUGUAAACCACUGCAAUUCAAGAAUAUGCUUAUCCAGAGGAGUUAUUUAAUCAGUUUUGAAGAUUCCCCUUUGUCAUUGGUUGGUCAUCUCUUGUCAUCCACCUACUCUUCGUCACCUCCUAUUCUCUCCACCACUCUCUUCAAAGAGCUGGAUUUUUAAAUAAUAAUAAUUAGCAUUCAAAAUGCAAAUAAGUACCAAGAAAAACCAGUCUGUAACCCUAUAUGACUUAAAGAUGAAUAUUCACGGUUUAGUAGAUAUUUAUUUCUGGUGUUUUUCUGCCUAUGCUAUGUGGACAUAUGUACAAUACAUUUUUCAAUUUUUAAAUUUUAUAUGUUAUUGUAAGCAUUUUUCCUAUGACAUUACAGAUUUAUCAUAAGCACCUUUUAAAAUUGGCUUUUGUUCUUUUGAUCUGUUCCUGAUUGCUAGUACCUCUCUAGGAAGAUGAAAGAUGUAUCUCAAACCAGUCCUUUUUCUUUAUUUUUGUUUGUUACUCAUAGAGAGUUCCACUUGAAGCUAAAAGAAAUGAUGAUUACUUGUGAAUUCUUAACCACCUUUCCCCUUACCCUGACUAACUAAUAGUUGGUUAUGGUUAAUAACUUACAAAAAAAUCUAUUAGUUCAUCAUUUUAAGACUAAUGUCUGUCAACAGGGAUUCUACCUUUGUUUCUCUUAAGAAAAUAAGGGAGAAAUGAAGGUUUUAGUAACAUUAAAAUUGGUUUUGGCUAAUAUAUUAUACCAUUGAGCAGAAGAUAGAGAAUCAAUCUUUCACUAGGACUUUGGUUUAAUUGGAGAAUCAGGACUUAGACAUUAAAAGGGAAAUAUUGUAGCAAGUUACAUAGAGUGUAUUGUCAUAGCAGAUUAUAUACAUCUUUAUUGCAUUAUAUUCUUAAAUAUAAAUAAAAAACAGCCUUAGGUUUUAUUUUCCUUUUUUUCUUCUUCCUAAUAUGGUUUACAAAGACAUUGAAACUUUUGUGAAAUGUUCAUGAUUUGGGGAUAAUAUUUUUUCCUUUAUGAUACUGAGGAUUUCAGAAAUUUUUAAUGCCUCUUUAGCCACUUGCUGUUAAGUAAGCUUCCUGAAAUAGUUAUGAACUUCAUGUGUAUACAUUAGAUUUUCAGAGGAGUCAGACUUUUAUUAUAUAUUUAAAAAGAAUGUACAGUUGAUUGUUGAUUAUAUUCCCUCAGGAUCUUUAAAUUAUUUCAUAUUCUUCACUUGUUUCAAAGGCUGGUGUUACAACUAGCUUGCUUUGUACGCUUUUGGUAUACAGGGUCUUUUGAGGAAAGGGCUAUUUAUUUUUUAAUAAAGUUUUAAUUUUAGAAUUUUAGUUUUAGAUUUAUAGAAAUGUUGCCAAGACAGUACAGAGAGCAGAGAGUUCUUGAAUGCCUCACAUUCAGUUUCUCCUAUUAUUAAUAUCUUACAUUACUAUGGUAUGUUUGUAACAAUUGAUAAACCAAUAUUGAUAUAUUAUUAUUAACUAAAGUCCAUACUUUAUUCAGAUUUUUAAAGUUGUUUCCUGAUGUCCUUUUUCUGUUCUAGGAUCCCAUCUAGGAUUCCACGUUGCAUUUAGUCAUAUGUCCUUUUGGGAUCCUCUUGUGACAGUUUUUCCUAUUUUCCUUGUUUUUGAUAACUUUGAUGGUUUUGCAGAGUAACUGGCAGGCUAUUUUAUAGAAUGUCACUCAGUUGGGAUUUGUCUGAUUUUUUUUCAUGUUUAGGCUGUGGUUAUGGGCUUUUGGUAGGAAGACUUCAGAGAUACAAAGCUGUUUUCAUUACAUAUCAAGUCAUAUUGAUAGUCAUGUAUUAUCAAUAGAACUUUUCAGUGUUGUUGACCUUAAUCACUUGGCUUGAGGGAGCUACCCUGUAAAGCUAUUCUUUCUUUCCCUCUUUUAUACUGUACUAUGGAAGGGACUCACUGUGUGUAACCCUUAGAAGUGGGGAAUUAUACCCUCUUUGAGGGCAGUGUCUAAUAAAUUAUUUGGAAUUUUACUGCAUGGGAGAUUCAUCUCUUCUCCCCAUUUAUUCAUUUAUCCAAUCAUUUAUUUAUGUCAGUAUGGACUUACAGAUAUUUAUUUUAUACUUUGGGUUACAGUGCAAUACUAUGUUAUCUAUUUUGUUAUUCAAAUUCUUCCAGCUUUGGACAUUGGACAUUCUUUCACUUGGUUUCUGUAUUCCUUUGACAUGCCUCCAUCAUUAUAGGGUUUUUAUUUAUUUGUUUUUUUGAAACAUUUUCUUACUUCCUGGUACUAUGAGAUGAUCUAGGUUCAUCUUGUCAGUUUCUUGCUUCAGUCUUAGUAUCAUCCAUUUCUCUGAGGAGCCCUUGUCCUUUUUAUUGGAGAAAGGUUUUAGAAACCAAGAUCUGAUUGCUAGUGUGCUUGUUGCUACUGGGAUGUCAUUGCUUUUAUUUAGGUCCUUUCAGCUCACAGAACAAGGAAAUGUGCAUAUCUAUAAAUAUUUGUAUAUGUAGCCAUCUGUACCUAUAUUAAGGGAAACAUGAUUUCAUACUAUUGUCUUCAACUCUUAUCCACUUCCACAUGGGUCAUUCUAGUCACCAGGAAGGAUUAUUUUAAGAUCACAUUUGUGUAUGUACUGAUGUCUGCCUUCCUGUGAUAUUAUUCCUUUUUAUUAGUUAAUUCCUUCUACAAACAUGUAUUGAGUGUAUAUUAUAUUUAAGCCUUGUACUAAGUGCAAGGGAUACAAAAAUGAAUGAUUCAUUGAUGCCUUCACAAUUUCUUCAAUACCUGUUUGUUGAAUACCUCAUAUUUAGCACUGUGCUCCAUUCUCACACUUUAGUAGUGGGGAAAAUAUGGCUACAGACAGUUAUGCUAUAAGGCGAAAUGUAACUGUGAUACAAGGUGGGGAAAAAAGUGUGUUCUUGUGUUGCUUAAAUAGUAGCUAAGACUGAGUGAUUUAUAAAGGAGAGUAGUCUCUUUUGGCUUACAGUUCUGCAGGCUAUACAGAAAACAUGGCAUGGCAUCUGCUUCUGGAAAGAGCCUCAGGGAUCUUACAAUUAUGGCAGAAGGCAAAGGGGAAGUAGGCAUGUCACAUGGUGAGAGCAGGAGCAAGAGGGAGAGGAGGGGCGGCCACACUUUUUCGAACUGUCAGAUCUCAUGUGAAUUCAGAGUGAGAACUCACUGAUUACCAUGAGGUUAGACCCACCCCUAUGAACCAGACACCUCCCACCAGGCCCCAACUCCAACAUUGGGAGUUACAUUUCAACAUGAGAUUUGGAGGGGACAGAAGUCCAAACUAUAUCAGAAAGAUAAUAACAAAGUUCAGAUGAAGAAAAAUUACUUCAGGAAAGAUAGUCAUGUGAUGAAUUUAGCGGUUAGAACCUGGUGAGAUACAAGUGACAGAAAAUACAAUCAAACAGGUUAAAAAAAAUUGAUUUGUUCAUAUACCAGUAAAGACCAGAAGUAGAACUAGCUUGGGGUGUGAAUAGUUUUAGGGCUUAAACAAUGUAAUCAGGGCUUUGCUUUGCCUUCUGCUCAUGCUGAUAUUAUCCUUGGUCUCUUCCUAGUAUCUCCUAGUACUUCUAGGUGAACAUCAUAACACAUAGUUCCAAAGAAGAGAAAGUCUGGUAUCACAGAGUCUUGGAAUUGAGACUUGUUUGUUUUGACUCUUUUCAUAUAGGUCAUUGUAUCCAUGAACAUUAUUGCUCUGGGGCACAGAAUGUGCUGAUGAGCUUAGCUUUGUAUAUAUGCUUCAUCUGUUUCACAGAUGUUGGUUUUGUGAUUAUUAUUAAUUAAGCUAUUCAUUUUUGUUUUGUGAACUUGUCCAUGUAUUUGUUAUAUUUUACAAUAUAUUUUUUAAAAAAGAGCUAAAUAUGUUUAGCAUAUAAAUUUUAAUCAAUGUAAUUCAUCAGAUUCAGGUAGUCCACUUAAUUCUAAGAUGGCUAUCUACAAAGAAACUUACUCCUAAGCACAUCAUGGCAAAUGACAGAAAACCAAAGACAAGGAGAAAAAUCUGAAAACAACCAGAGAAAACAAAAAAGCAACCAUUAGAUUGUUAGCUGACUUCUGAGUAGCAAUAAUGGAAGAUAGAAUACAGUUUAGUGAUAUAUUUGAUGUGAUAAACUAAACAACAAUUUAAAAUCCUAUAUCUAGCAAAAAGAUUCUUAACUAAGUGAAAUAAAUCUAUUUUCAAGUAAACGAAAGCAGAGACUUCAUCAUUAGCAAACCUUUACUAAUUCUUCAGGGAAAUGAAAGAUAAAAAUCUCAGAUGGAAGACUAGAGAUGCAGAUAGGCAUAAAGAGCAACAAAAUAUAAUAAAGGGAGCUAGUAGUUAAAGAGUGUAUAAAAUUAUAAAUCAUCUAGAGGGUGUUUCAGCUAGAAUUGUUUUAUACAUUCUGGCGGUUGUUAGAAUUUAUGUUCCCAAUAUAUUUCACGUAGGCAAAUAUUAAAUUAUGUGACUUCUUGUUAUUUACUGGUUGGGGAGUGGGGAAGUGGGUAAAUAUAGGGUGAAAAAAGAAAAUGACACUAAAGCUUGGCUUUGCAAGUGGCUAAUUUAAUGCUGACCGUGUCUGCCAUCCUGCUUUCUGCAUUUAUCUUCUUGUAGCGCUGUGAUUAUUUCUUGGGGACAUCAGGAUAUAUUGAUUGCUGGUUCCUAGCUCCCAAAGAUUUCAAUUUAUUUACUUAGUCUGGGGUAGAACCUGGGUAUCAGUGGCUUUGGAAAGCCAUUUCUAAGGCUGGGCAACAUGGCAAAACCUUGUCACUACAAAAAACACAAAAAUUAGCCAUGCAUGGUGGCUUACACCUGUAGUUGCAGCUACUUGGCAGGCGGAGGUGGGAGAAUCCCUUGAGCUCAGGAAGUUGAGGCUGCAGUGAGCUGAGAUGGUACCACGGCACUCUAGCUUGGGUGACGGAGUGAGACCCUGUCUCAAAAACAACAAACAAACAAAGCCAAUUCUAGUGUUAUAACCAGAGUCGAGAACUACAGGUUUUGGAAAUGAAUAUGGGCGAGACAGAUCUUAAUUCUAGACUUAGUUUUAUUGAUUACUAGUUGGAUUAUGGUGGAUCUAUGUAUUUAUUUAUUGUUAAAACUGAUAAGUACCUAUCUCACAGGGCCAUUUUAGGGAAUAAAGACAGUAACAUUCAAAUGUAGAAAUGAAAAGAAAACCAGAGGUGUGGAGGUCAAAAUGACCAAGGGCAACGUAUAAUCAUUAUCAGAGAGAGCUUAGCAUGUGGACGUAUUUUCAAAGAAGCCCUAAGUUUACCUUUAUAAUUGAAGCAGUUUGUUUGAUUUUUGUACUUAUCUUUCAACUCCUAUCGAAAUGAGGUUUUGUACUUGCUGAGGUCUUUAGGAUUGGGAUUAUUCUGCUGUACUUGGGUUAUCUACAGGAAUGGGCACAUGACAGAGGAAGAGUCUUAUAAGUUUUGAACCUGUUUCUAAUAUAUGUUUUCUCCAACAUUUUUAAAAAGCAAAAAAAAAAAACAAAAAAAAAA